rnacentral:lncRNA from 1 species
CUCUCUCCUCCUCCUCUCUCUCUCUCUCUCUCUCUCUCUCUCUCUCUCUCUCUCGCUCGCUCGCUCUACAUUUCUCUCCCUUAGAGAGGUACAUACCAAGGGCCAACUUCAUUUUUACAGGGUCCGGUCUGAAGCUUCUUUUUCGGGCCUUCCUCUGAAGUUGGGCCAGUUUUCUAUUGACGUAUAAAAAAUUUCUAUUGGCUGUGUUUUUUAUUUUAUCUAAAUCAAUUGAAACCUUCAGUUAAUUUUAUUACCAGGAAUUCACAGGUUUAAUGGGAUUAUUUUGGACCGUGGUCAUAAAUUUAUGCGGUCGAGGGUUUAAUUGCAAAUAAGUUAUUAGUGUGGGUUUUAGGGUGGGUAUAAAUAUUGCAGUGGGGGGGGUGGGUUUCGUGGUGAGUUUGAAAAACGCGAAACCCCUUGUUUCUGGCGGUGAGUCGGAGAUCCUGCAGCCGCUGCUGCUGCUGCUGCUGCUCAUGGCGUCUCGAUUUCGGUCGAUCUCGAAGCCCGCUCUCUCUCUGCUCCAAUCAACCAUGAAGAAGCGCAGCAGCAUACCGCUUCCUAAUCUUCAUCCUCGCGGUUCUCCAUCCUUUUCGAGGCUAGCCUCUCUCUCUCUCGCGCGCGCGUUGCCUCUCAUAGCUGCCUCUUGUCUCGCAUCUGAUGUCGUCAAUCCAUUUAUCUGUUGUUCUGUCAAAAAAUAGUGUACCGCGCGAGAUUUGUUCUCUGCAAUCUCUCCUGCCGUUCCACAGCGCGGUGUCCGCUGCUCUUUUGACAUCGCGGCUCGGAACCGACUCCGCGGGAGGCUCGAGAUCGCUGUCCAAGGGUACGCUCUGCAGUUCAAAUCCAGGAGUCUGAUGCUUGCUUAUCGUUUGUUUGCUUGAUGUAAGCCACUGGUUCUCUUUCUUGCUUUUCUGGAUAUGAACCAUAAGCUUUGUCUUUCUGGUUUUCUCGGCCUGUUCGUGGAACAUGCCUCCAAGACUUGAGACCUGGCAUUGUCAUAUUUCUGCUUGAUGUAAUAUUUAAUUCUUAACUGAUGCAAUGGUUCUGGAGAUAUGUUUUUGCUAAAAAAGCUCGGAAAAUAGUUUACUGAUGCCAACUAGUUCCGAUUUAAUCUUGUUUGCCUUCUGUUCCAAACGUCCUCAUGUUGUUCUGGUUUUUCCCCCAAGACAUCCUCUGAAAGUUACAUUUUUUGCUGGUAAACUUUCCAUCGACUGUAUUAACGAGCGAUUCGCAUUUUUUUAUGUUUCAGUUACCUAGAAGGUUUCUGUUUGUAAUCAGUACCUACGGUCUCUUAAUGAACAUGACUUUUAUGAUUUUUAUGAUUUGUACAAUGACUAUUGGGCAAGGUCAUCCACUCUAGGGGAGCUGAUUGCCUUUCCAUUUUUUUGUUUAUGACUGCUACAAGACCCCUUUCCCCUAGUUUCCUAGUUGUUUAAAAAAUAUAUUUUUGUCAAAACGGGUUACGAAUCUGGGGGAUGAAAGCCAGCUAUAGGGCGUAAUGGAAUGGAAUGUUUAUCCUGAUCUUCUUAUUCUUCAUUUGAUUCAGAUGUAUGGACUAUAGAACAUUUCCUGUCCAAGAAUGGUCAUAGUAUUCUUCUUUUGAUACCUACCUGAGAAGGUAUAAAGGAUCUUUAGUUUACGACUUGUAACAAUCGUGAAGGACGAAAUAUGCUGUGUUCAUGUCCAUAGCAGUUAUAUGGCGCUCUAUCUGUUCGUUUUUGAAAUAUGUAAAUUUGGAAUGUCAAAGCUCAGUGAACUCGAGAAAAUGUUUGAUGCUUUCCUUUUGGCAAUGUCACUUGUUAUAAAGCUUUUCAAUGUGUAAAUUGCUGAUGAUCAUUUUUUUGGUACUUAUCGCACAAUAAUAGCAAUUUUUUGCUCCCCCCUAUCUUGAACUUUUGGUGAUUUUUUUUUCCGUGCCUGCCAUGUCUCUAUAGAUUGUGUAUGAUGUGCCCGUACACAACCUUACUGUCGCACUUAACCGUGAAUAAAUUCUUAACAGAAUGAAAUUUUUCAUCCAAACUGUUAAAUGCCUUAUGAUGUUGGCCCCAGAAGAUUUAAGGAUGCAGAAGAAUAUUAUUUGUCAGCUGUACACAGAGGGUAAACCAUGGUCUUAAAUUUUUAGUAAAUCUGAGAGGAGAGAGAGUAGUGAAAUGGUAUGGAGUUCUCCAAGGUGCAUCCUCGUCUUCUCCGGUCAAAUCUGACUUUCCUUUUAUGUGACCUAUUGGAAAUCAACAUAAAGGUUGGAUAAAGAGGGAUAAAGUAGACAACAAAAACAUAGGACUCUACAAUAAUCAGAAUGGAAGCAGAAUAUGGCUGAUGCACCUGUAGAACCUGUUAUAGAGGAAGAACAAACCAAAGGGAUUCACCAGGUGUAGCUAUGACUAGAACUUAAAAAGGAAAAAUAUGCUGCCUCACAAAUGGGAGGCUGUAAUUGCGGCAUUGACCAUUAAGAAUGUUGCUUUCAGGGAAACACGGUCGUCCUGUUUUGUGCGUACACCUAUCCUCAUACCUGAAAGCUUGUUUUGGUCAACGCCCUCUCCAAGCCUUAGCUAUCGGGAAAUGGAGACGGCGGAUGAAAGGAAAAUGGUUUCUGGGUUAUCUAAUCUUCGGCUAUCUGUGCAUUUAUCAAUGCCUUCUGGAUUGUCCUAAAUCAGAAGGAGAAACGCAUCUCUUAAAAAUGGCAUCGUGUCUAUUUUCCAUACUAUUCCAUUUAUCAGUCAGUCGCACCGGCUACCUGUUGAUAUGAGCUCAAGAUUGACUUUUUUGUAGGAGUUUCUCCAAAGCAUGGCAUGAACUGACGUUCUCUCUUCUCUCUUCUCAGAGUCCGGCCUCUCCACCCCGCGAUGACUGGCGCUGGCAGACAGCCGGGUGGACUCGUUUGCCUUAGAAUUUCUUCCCAUCGGCUCUUCAGGUUCCUCCUGAUGUGAUAAGUUUUCCCCCGAAUGGAGCUGGGAUGAAUAAUUUCCCUGUUUAUUUGUAUUUUUUUGAACGACUUUCUCCUCAUUUCGUGCGUGAAUUGCGGUGAUCUCUUCACGUGCGCCGCCGGGCCGUGACGCCGGCGCCAGUUCCGAAGCUUCGUCCUCAUCUUGGUUCACGGGCGGGGAGGGGUCGCACACGUGUGAGGGGAAGCCUGCGCCCUGCGCAGCUUUUAAACCCCGCGGGAGGGAAGAGGAAGGAGUGUAGGAGGCGCCG